rnacentral:pre_miRNA from 1 species
CCUCUGCUCUAACGUGCGGUACUGCUACUUCAGACAAAAGUAAGUGCCUCCAUGUUUCAGUGGAAG